rnacentral:rRNA from 1 species
GUCCUCUUGAUAAUAAUUUGAGGUUUAACCUGCCCACUGAUUUUUUAACGGCCGCAGUAAUUUGACUGUGCAAAGGUAGCAUAAUCAUUAGUUUUUUAAUUAAAAGCUUGUAUGAAUGGUUGGACGAGGUAAAAUCUGUCUCUAUUUAAUUUAAAAUAAAAUUUAAUUUUUAAGUUAAAAAGCUUAAAUAUAAAUAAAAGACGAGAAGACCCUAUAGAUCUUUAUAUUAUUUAUAAUAAUUUUAAUUAAGAAUUGUUUAUAAAUUAUUUUAAUUAGUAUUCUAUUGGGGUAAUAAAAAGAUUAAAAAAAUUCUUUUUUAAGUUUUACAUAGAUUAAUGAAUAUUUGAUCCAAUUAUUUUGAUUAAAAGAUUAAGUUACCUUAGGGAUAACAGCGUAAUUUUUUUAGAGAGUUCUUAUCGAUAAAAAAGUUUGCGA